rnacentral:rRNA from 1 species
UGAGCAAUCUGCCUUCACGCGGGGAUAACUCCGGGAAACCGGUGCGGAUACCCGAUACGACCACUUCAGGCAUCUGAUGGUGGUGGAAAGUUCCGGCGGUGAAGGAUGAGCUCGCGGCCUAUCAGCUUGUUGGUGGGGUAACGGCCCACCAAGGCAACGACGGGUAGCCGGCCUGAGAGGGUGA